ensembl:lncRNA
GUCAGACAGAGUUGUUUUUUUGAUUCAUCAGUUGUUGUUUUUGACACUGAUGCUAGAGUUGAGGGUGUUGGAGUGGUGGUUGUGGUUGCUAAAGUUGUUGUUGCAUCAGAUGUUUUUGUGGUGUCAGACAGAGUUGUGGUUGCUACAUCAGAUGUUGUUGACGUUGGUUCAAACGUUGAGGAUGUUGGAAAGGUGGUUGUGGAAGCCAAAGAUGUUGUUGUAUCAAUUGUUGUUGUGGUGUCAGGCAUAAUUGUGGUUGCUGCAUCAGAUGUUGAUGCUGGUGCUAUAGUGGUCAAUGUCAGAGGUGUGGUUGUGGAAGCCAAAACUGUUGUUGCAUCAGUUGUUGUUGAUGUGGUGUCAGACAGAGUUGUUGUUGAUGCAUGAGUUGUUGUUGAAACUGGCGCUACAGUUGAGGAUGUUGUAGGAGUGAAUGUAGAAGCCAAAGUUGUUGUUGCAUCUAUCAUUGUUGUGGUAUCAGGAAUACUUGUGGUUGCUGCAUCAGAUGUUGUUGACGUUGGUUCAACCGUUGAGGAUGUUGAAAAGGUGGUUGUGGAAUCCAAAGAUGUUGUUGUAUCAGUUGUUGUUGUGGUGUCAGGCAUAGUUGUGGUUACGGCAUCAGAUGUUGAAAUUGGUGCAAUAUUAGAGGAUGUUGGAGCAGUGGUUGUGAGAGCCAAAGUUGUUGUUGUAUCAGUUGUUGUUGUUGUUGUGGUGUCAGACAGAGUUGUUGUUGAUGCAUCAGUUGUUGUUGAAACUGGCACUACAGUUGAGGAUGUUGUAGGAGUGAUUGUGGAAGCCAAAGUUGUUGUUGCAUCUAUCAUUGUUGUGGUAUCAGGAAUACUUGUGGUUGCUGCAUCAGAUGUUGAUGCUGGUGCUAUAGUGGUCGAUGUCAGAGUAGUGAUUGUGGAAGCCAAAGAUGUUGUUGUAUCAAUUGUUGUUGUGGUGUCAGGCAUAGUUGUGGUUGCUGCAUCAGAUGUUGAUGCUGGUGCUAUAGUGGUCGAUAUCAGAGGUGUGGUUGUAGAAGCCAAAACUGUUGUUGCAUCAGUUGAUGUUGUUGUGGUGUCAGACAGAGUUGUUGUUGAUGCAUCAGUUAUUGUUGAAACUGGCGCUACAUUUGAGGGUGUUGUAGGAGUGAAAGUGGAAGCCAAAGUUGUUGUUACAUCUAUCAUUGUUGUGGUAUCAGGAAUACUUGUGGUUGCUGCAUCAGAUGUUGGUGACGAUGGUUCAACCGUUGAGGAUGUUGAAAAGGUGGUUGUGGAAGCCAAAGAUUUUGUUGUAUCAAUUGUUGUUGUGGUGUCAGGCAUAGUUGUGGUUGCUGCAUCAGUUGUUGUUGAUACUGGCGCUACAGUUGAGAAUGUUGUAGGAGUGAAAGUGGAAGCCAAAGUUUUUGUUGCAUCUAUCAUUGUUGUGGUAUCAGGAAUACUUGUGGUUGCUGCAUCAGAUGUUGUUGACAUUAGUUCAACCGUUGAGGAUGUUAGAAAAGUGGUUGUGGAAGCCAAAGAUGUUGUUGUAUCAAUUGUUGUUGUGGUGUCAGGCAUAGUUGUGGUUGCUGCAUCAGUUGUUGUUGAUACUGGCGCUACAUUUAAGGAUGUUGUAGGAGUGAUUGUGGAAGCCAAAGUUGUUGUUGCAGCUAUCACUGUUGUGGUAUCAGGUAUACUUGUGCUUGCUGCAUCAGUUGUUGUUGAUAUUGGCACUACAGUUGAGGAUGUUGUAGGAAUGAUUGUGGAAGCCAAAGUUGUUGUUGCAUCUAUCAUUGUUGUGGUGUCAGGAAUACUUGUGGUUGCUGCAUCAGAUGUUGUUGACGAUGGUUCAACCGUUGAGGAUGUUGAAAAGGUGGUUGUGGAAGCCAAAGAUAUUAUUGUAUCAACUGUUGUUGUAUCAAUUGUUGUUGUGGUGUCAGACAUAGUUGUUGUUGAUGCAUCAAUUGUUGUUGAUACUGGCGCUACAGUUGAGGAUGUUGUAGGAAUGAUUGUGGAAGCCAAAGUUGUUGUUGCAUCUAUCAUUGUUGUGGUAUCAGGAAUACUUGUGGUUGCUGCAUUAGAUGAUGUUGACGUUGGUUUAACCGUUGAGGAUGUUGAAAAGGUGGUUGUGGAAGCCAAAGAUAUUAUUGUAUCAAUUGUUGUUGUAUCAAUUGUUGUUGUGGUGUCAGACAUAGUUGUUGUUGAUGCAUGAGUUGUUGUUGAAACUGGCACUACAGUUGAGGAUGUUGUAGGAAUGAUUGUGGAAGCCAAAGUUGUUGUUGUAUCAAUUGUUGUUUUGGUGUCAGGCAUAGUUGUGGUUGCUGCAUCAGAUUUGAUGCUGGUGCCAUAGUGGUCAUGUCAGAGGUGUGGUUGUGGAAGAGAAAAUUGUUGUUGCAUCAGUUGUUGUUGUGGUGUCAGCCAGAGUUGCUGUUGAUGCAUCGGUUGUUGUAGCAAAAGUUGUAGUUGCAUCAAUAGUUGUUGUGGAGUCAGCUGUAGUUGUGGUUGCUCCCUCUAUUUUUGACACUAUAGUUGAGGAUUUUGGAGGGGUGGUUGUGGAAGCCAAACUUGUUGCAUCAGUAGUUAUUGUGGCGUCAGACAGCGUUGUGGUUGAUGCAUCAGUUAUUGAUGCUGGUUCUAUAGUUGAGGAUGUUGGGGGGGGGGUUGUGUAAGCCAGCUUUUUUGUUGAAUAAAUAGUUGUUAUGGUGUCAGGCAUAGUUGUGGUUGAUGCAUCUGUUGUUGACAUUGGAAUGGUGGUUGUAGAAGCCAAAUUUGUUUUUCUAUCAAUAGUUAUAGUGGUGUCAAUUAUUGUGGUUACUGCAUCAGUUGUUGAAGUUGCUGCUGUAUUUGAGGAUGAUGGAGGAGUUGUUGUGGAAGCCAUAUUUUUUGUUUCAUCUGUAGUUGUAGUACUGUCAAACAGAGUUAUUGUUGCUUCAUCCGUUGUUGUUGAUGUUGGUACUACAGUUGAAUAUGAUGGAGAGGUGGUGUCUGUAUCAGUCAUCAAUUUUGGUGCUAUAGUUGAGGAUGCUGAAAACAUGCUUUUUGUAUCCAAAGUUGUUGUUUCCAUUAUAGUUGUAGUUGUAUAAAUUGUUUUUGAUUGGGCUGUUUUUGUGUCUUUUGGAUCCUUUUUUUUUGUGAUUUCAGAAAUUGGUGUUGAUGUUAAAUCUUGAAUUUUUAUUGUUGAUUGCACAUCUUUUGCUGUAGAAGCCCCGGUUUCUGUAGUAACUGGUGUGGUAUAGUCUGAUGUCCUUCGACCUGAUUCUGUAGAUUUUCCAAGUCCUGUCGUACAUCCAUAAACCAUCCACCAGAUACAGACUGUGAAAAGAGAUAUUUCAU